rnacentral:rRNA from 1 species
AACGAACGCUGGCGGCAUGCCUAACACAUGCAAGUUGAACGAGACCUUCGGGUCUAGUGGCGCACGGGUGCGUAACGCGUGGGAACCUGCCCUUAGGUUCGGAAUAACUCCCCGAAAGGGGUGCUAAUACCGGAUAAUGUCUUCGGACCAAAGAUUUAUCGCCUUUGGAUGGGCCCGCGUUGGAUUAGCUAGUUGGUAGGGUAAAAGCCUCCCAAGGCGACGAUCCAUAGCUGGUCUGAGAGGAUGAUCAGCCACACUGGGACUGAGACACGGCCCAGACUACUACGGGAGGCAGCAGUGGGGAAUAUUGGACAAUGGGCGAAAGCAUGAUCCAGCAAUGCCGCGUGAGUGAUGAAGGCCUUAGGGUUGUAAAGCUCUUUUACCCGGGAUGAUAAUGACAGUACCGGGAGAAUAAGCUCCGACUAACUCCGUG